CCAAGCAUGACAGGACCAUUCACAUAAAGCCUGAAAUUUGUGUCAGUGUUAAAAUGCAUGGUAGUUAGACUCCGCCCCCUCCAGACUGCCUGCAUACUCACAGAUAUGGGCAUGUUGGACUGCGCCGACCUCUGCUGCCAGGUCACAAACAGGUUCUCGAUCUUCAUCUGCCUCUCCAUUUCUGUCACCACAAACAGAGUCAGCCAUCGCCUUGGGACACGCAACAGUUGGUGAAGCCCCGCCCCUUUUACCUCUCCGCUCAGCAGCUUUCAUCUCCAGCAGUUGGCCCCCGUGCCGGGCCACCACGUCGCCCUCCAUCAGGGGCCGGAUGGUGCAGACGUCCCUCAGGGCCUCGUCGAAGGGGAGCAGCUCAGAGGGGAAGUGGAGAGGGGCCAAACUGCGACCGGAGCCCCCCAUCCGACCCGGCUCUUUACUGGAGGGAGGCGGGACAGCGCUCCGGAGCAGUGCAUCGGGCUCCAUGGACGGACCGAGGAAUGGGUUCGGAUCCUUAAAAGCAGAAAUCAUGAAGCGGACCAUCAUUUCUACGGACACAGCGCUGAAGACUCUGCAGAGCUUCAGAACCAUUUGUAUUUUUCUGAAUGGGUCGGGGGUGUCGUGCGAGUGUGAACUUCUCAAACGUGUGGCGUGAUGGGAGCAGAGGACAUUCAGCGACCCGCCGCACGCCGCGGACAGGAACUUUGGGCAGACAGGCAGACAGCACGGCAGCAUGGACAGUGAGACACAGCAGCUCAUGGAAGCAAACACUCAGAACAACAGGAGCGUUAGAUGGCAAGCGUGGACAGAGAAACAGAGCAGGAGCGUGAAAGCUUUGACAUGAGACCUGCAGCUCUUCAUCCACGCCACACAGGAGCUUAAGGUAGAACUGCUGCAGACCCUCGAACUGAAGCUCCGUCCCUACGCAAUUUGGUUCGUCCAACCAAAACUCAAACUUUGUGAAGAACAGUUUGUUAUAAUCCUGCUUUGCUUAAUAUAUUUUACUAUCUACUUUUUUAAAAGUUAGCACUUGGUUUAAAUUCCAUCUGAUGAAAAUUUGUUCUAGUUUACACAUUUUUCAACUUCUGUCUGGUUUCUGAAAGUUUCAAACCUUUAAGCUUUUGGCCUGAAAGGUUUUUUUAACACCAAAAAAAGUUGACUUUCAUUAAAGGUUUUUAUUACCAUCAAGAUUUUUCAUGAGUUAAUAAAAUUAGAGAUUAUUGAAGCAGUUUUAGCAUAGAAAAUACAUUCAUUCAUCUUCUGGGUCUUUGUCCCCGUCAGCGUCUUGAGGGCGCCGGAGCCUAACGCCUGGUUCACGCUGGACGCGGAAGCGCGAAACGGAGGCUGUUUCCAUUCGGCGCCCUUGUUAACCUAAGGUGUGGCUCACACCAGGGGCGGAGUUCCGCGGUCUCCAGGGAAGGCUCGCGACGUGCAGCGGAUCGUUUCGGCGGCUGGUCUAUUUUGAGCGCGAGCGAUCCGCGUCAAUCCUGACAGGAAGUUACAUCAAGAUACAUGAGAAAAUCUGGUUCAUUUUCAAAAUAUAAUCAAUGUUUUUGUAUCUAAUAGGACUGUAGAGAUGAAAAUAAACAUACAAUAACAACACACACACACAGACAGAUCAAUGAAGUGGGCCGACUCUGGAGUGGGGCGUGGGGCUGGGUUUUGAGUGUAAAAAAACAACAAGAGAGUAAGAGUAAUAUUUUUAUGUUAUUAAUUUACUCAUGAUGACAAAAGCAAAAAAAGAGAAAAAGAAAAAAAUAAGAAAAAGCUAUAGCAGAAGUGCCUGUCGACCGUCGCAGAAAAAUGUGUGUCUGAUGUGAAUUGCAGGAGAGAGUGGAGGCCGCAUGCACUCCGCUUCUGCGUCCAGUGUGAACCAGGGCAAAGGCAGGGAACAUCCUGGACAGGUUGUCACAGGGCCUCAAUCACACAACCUGGGGGCAACUUAGAGUAACCAGUUAACCUAUGAAGCAUGUUUUUGGACAGUGGGAGGAAGCCGGAGUACCCUGACGAAAACCCACGCGUGCAUGGAGAGAACAUGCAAACUCUACACAGGAAGGUCCCCAGUUGAUUUUCUGAUUCAGAUUGCCCAGCUGGGAUUUGAACCGGGGCCUUCUUGCCGUGAGGCAAGAGCGCUAACCACUACACCAUCAUUUCAGCAUUGAAUCCUGCUCUCAGAUAGACUCAUGGAGGUGAAAACAUUUUCUAAUUUGAAAUGUUUGACUGCUCUAGCAGCUGAAGAUCUGCAGCAGGUCCUUCAAACAGUCAUAUUAGCUGUGAGAAUGUGAGCCGACUGGUUGUGAGCAGCUCGUGUGCACACGUGCAGGCAGCUGGGGGCCGGUGUUCUGGCUGUACCUUGCUCCGUGCUGCAGUGCCACUGAUGGAAGUUUCGACCAAUCAGAAUGAAGCUCCUCAGAGAGUCUGGAGGAUGGCUGAGGUCCUGGACCUCAGGGAACGGCACAAAGGUGUCUCCUGAGGGGGGGCAGCCGCAGGAGCUACAAAAAACAGAACAAAGUGGUUUCAUUAUAAGAGAGAGAACCCGAGGAGGAGGAGUGUGGGGCGGUUAGCAGCUGAUUCCAGACUGAACUGCAGCUCACCUGAUCUUUUCAAACACUUUCACCGUCGUAUCACUGGCCAGGGAAGAGACCAGGUUGACGAUCUCUGAGAGGAGGGAGGGCAGCAGGAAGUUUGAGGCCAUCUCAGCUGUGCACUGCUGGAUGGAGGGGCAGCCUGUGGGGGGUGAAGGCAACAGGACAGGGAGGAAACAUUAUAAAACCUCAGCUAAACCUUCAAUCAUCCAACUAGGUGCAGAAACCACGCUUCUAGUUUCCAUGACCUGAAACCAGUUUAUCAGAGAAGGCUAGUUAAGUCCACUGAUGCAUGUCACCAGCUUACCCAGAUUAGUCAUGAAGGUGAUCCAGGCCUGGCAGGUGUGCUGGUAGACCGGGUGCAAGAAGCCCACAUCUCCUUCUUCCAGCUGAGACGCUUGCUUCCUGCACAACCACAAACCCGCUGUGGUUACAUGACGGCUUUCCACUCCCCACAGCUGACAGGAUGAAACACCCAAUGACGUUUAAACUGGUGCAAAGGUGUAAUACCUCCAGCAAACAGCAGGUG
rnacentral:lncRNA from 1 species